rnacentral:lncRNA from 1 species
AUUUUUUGUUUGUUUUGGUCGUAUAUAUUUAGGGAAAAGACUAAUUAAAAUUGUUUCAUUUGCUAGAAGUUUCCUCAUAUUUAAUGCUUUAGCAUGAGGACAAAAUCAUGAAGGUGAGAAACUAAUAAGAUGUGGUACAAUUGCCAAUGAGACAACUCUCCACAGGAGACCAAAUGACACAGAAAUUUACAACUAUAGGUC